UACAGAGGGUGCGAACGUUAAUCGGAAUUACUGGGCGUAAAGCGUGCGUAGACGGUUAUUUAAGUCGGAUGUGAAAGCCCCGGGCUCAACCUGGGAAUUGCAUUCGAGACUGAAUAGCUAGGGUGCGGUAGAGGGAAGCGGAAUUUCCGGUGUAGCGGUGAAAUGCGUAGAUAUCGGAAGGAACAUCAGUGGCGAAAGCGGCUUCCUGGACCAGCACCGACGUUCAGGCACGAAAGCGUGGGGAGCAAACAGG
rnacentral:rRNA from 1 species